AAUGGGGGAAACCCUGACGCAGCAACGCCGCGUGAGUGAGGAAGGCCUUCGGGUUGUAAAGCUCUGUCACUGUGGAAAAAUGAGCAUUGGUCUAAUAGGCUAGUGAAGUGAUGGUACACAGAGAGGAAGCACCGGCUAACUUCGUGCCAGCAGCCGCGGUAAUACGAAGGGUGCAAGCGUUGUUCGGAUUUAUUGGGCGUAAAGCGCGCGCAGGCGGAUGAUUAAGCCAGAUGUGAAAUCUCGGGGCUCAACCCCGAAACUGCGUCUGGAACUGGUUAUCUAGAGUACUGGAGGGGAAAGGGGAAUUUCGCAUGUAGGGGUAAAAUCCGUAGAGAUGCGAAGGAACACCAGCGGGGAAACCGCCUUUCUGGACAGUCACUGACGCUGAGGCGCGAAAGCGUGGGGAUCAAA
rnacentral:rRNA from 1 species